UACGGAGGGUGCGAGCGUUGUCCGGAAUCACUGGGCGUAAAGGGCGCGUAGGUGGCGUCGCAAGUCAACGGUGAAAGCUCGACGCUUAACGUCGAGUCGGCCGUCGAGACUGCGAGGCUCGAGCACUGUAGAGGCUCAUGGAAUUCCGGGUGUAGCGGUGGAAUGCGUAGAGAUCCGGAAGAACACCGGUGGCGAGGGCGGUGAGCUGGGCAGUUGCUGACACUGAGGCGCGACAGCGUGGGGAGCAAACAGG
rnacentral:rRNA from 1 species